GAUGAACGCUGGCGGCGUGCCUAAUACAUGCAAGUCGAGCGAACAGACGAGGAGCUUGCUCCUCUGACGUUAGCGGCGGAAGGGUGAGUAACACGUGGAUAACCUACCUAUAAGACUGGGAUAACUUCGUGAAACCGGAGCUAAUACCGGAUAAUAUAUUGAACCGCAUGGUUCAAUAGUGAAAGACGGUUUUGCUCUCACUUAUAGAUGGAUCCGCGCCGCAUUAGCUAGUUGGUAAGGUAACGGCUUACCAAGGCAACGAUGCGUAGCCGACCUGAGAGGGUGAUCGGCCACACUGGAACUGAGACACGGUCCAGACUCCUACGGGAGGCAGCAGUAGGGAAUCUUCCGCAAUGGGCGAAAGCCUGACGGAGCAACGCCGCGUGAGUGAUGAAGGUCUUCGGAUCGUAAAACUCUGUUAUUAGGGAAGAACAAAUGUGUAAGUAACUAUGCACGUCUUGACGGUACCUAAUCAGAAAGCCACGGCUAACUACGUG
rnacentral:rRNA from 1 species